rnacentral:rRNA from 1 species
UACAGAGACUGCAAGCGUUAUUCGGAUUCACUGGGCGUAAAGGGUGCGUAGGUGGUGAGGUAAGUCGGAUGUGAAAUCUCCAAGCUCAACUUGGAAACUGCAUUGGAAACUACCUUGCUAGAGGAUUUGAGGGGGGAUUGGAAUACUUGGUGUAGCAGUGAAAUGCGUAGAUAUCAAAGUGGAACACCAGUGGCGAAGGCGAAUCCCUGGAAAAUACCUGACACUGAGGCACGAAAGCUAGGGGAGCAAACAGG